GGUACAAGUUUGAAGAAGAGUAGAUUUGUAUGGUCAGCUGAUCCUACUAAUCUAGCCUAUUUCAAAUUUGGACCC
rfam:Haemonchus contortus, ISE/inbred ISE, WGS project CAVP01000000 data, contig: Hcontortus_8515